CACAGAUCGUUUUUAAAACGUUUUAAAAACGUUAAAAAACGUUUUCAUAAGUUUUUUAAACGUUUUAAAAACGUUUUGUGCUUACUGGGAAGCAAGUUCCAUAAUUUUGGGCCUCGGCAAAAUAAUGAAAAAUCAGCUUGUUUUAAUAAAGUUUUUGAUAUAACAAAGUUAUUUAUUAAGUAUUUAGUUAGUUGUUUGUGGUUUAAAAAAAAACAAUAAGCAAUUCGAUUUCUCUCAGUAAUGGUCUGGCACUAGAGUAUUUAUUUGCAUGUAAAAUCAAACAACUUGCUCGUUCAAAACUUCUUGAUUAACAGUAUUAAACAAUAGGCUAAUGUUUGUUUAGAUAAAGAAUACUUGGGUAUCAUCAGCAAAAAGAACAAAGUUAAGUAUCUUGGAAGAUAAGUGGACAUUAUUAAUAUAAACAAAAAAUAACAAUGUACCAUGACCAAGACAAAUGGACCAAUUGGUUCUUGUGGGACCCGACAAGUUCUGACGAAAAGAUCCUCGCAAUCUUCUUUCAAAUAACUUGUUUGUAUUUGUUAUAUACUUUUUUUAUCGUUGUAAGUUUAUAUUAAUAUUUUUAUUAAUGGUUAUAUAAAGUUGUACAACGACCAACAAUUAUAAACCA
rnacentral:lncRNA from 1 species